AAACACACCAAAGAAUAAAACUCAUAAUUGUAGAAUCUUUACUCAAACACCAAGGCAUCCCCCAAUACUUCGUACGAAUACAAAUACGCUUCUCCACCUCCACCUCCACCUCGCCUACCCAAAUCCAAACUUCUGAAUUGAAUCUAAAAAUCCAAUCAAUGGAAUCAAAUCAGGUCGUGAUGGAGCAUAACGCAUGUGGGAUGAUAUCUUGUGACAAGAUUGAUCGGAUGGCUAAUUGGGUUGGAAAUAGCGUUGCGUCGGCGUUUUUCACCUCACUCGAACGCUGUUCAUGCAUCAAUCUCAGCACCUCUCAUGACGAUUUUGACGAAGGAGACGAUGAAGAAGAGGCAAAAGAUCGUCCGCUCAUGCUCACAAAACCUGUCAUCUUCGUUGAUGAGUCUCACCGUGAACCCACUAAGGUUCCUCCUGUGUAAUUGUGGUUUUAAAGUCGGAUGCUCGUGUAUCUAACUUUGGUUUGCUUGGGUAACAACUUUAAUUAGGUUUAAUUUCAUUGUAUUUCUAUACAGUCUUGCUAAUAUUUUGUUUUGUUAGGAUCUCUAUUUUAACCUGUGCUAACAGGUUACUUUUUAUUAAUUGUUCAUCAAGGGGUGUUCGGAUAGGAAAAAAAAGAGGGAGGUUAUUGCUUAUUCCCACCAUAAGUUAUAUUCUCAUGUCUGUGUGUGUUUGAAUUGGAGCUCUUAGAAGGAGAAUGACAAAGUCUUUGUUUAUGAAAUCCAGUGUUUGUGAGAUUAGCAAUGGUAUAUAUGUAUAUUUUUGGUUUUGGGGAUUUUAUCAAGUAUAAGAGUUUUCCUUCAAAUUGUGCACCUACCCGUUUGCAGAUGACUUUGUUCAACACACACCCUCAUAUGGAUGUUUUUUUUUUGUGUGUGUGUGAAUCUAAGCGCAUAGGUGUAUUGAAUAUUUGUUGUUUGUGUUGUGUUCUGGUGUAUAUUUUUUGAUUUAGGAUUGUAAGUAAGUGGAGAAAUUUGUGUGAGAAUUAUUAUGAUUUUUGAGGGAUAUAUGGUUGAAGGAAGUAUGCAUAUGAAGUUGAGUUGAUAGUUUAGAUGAUAUAAUGAUUAUGAAAAGUUUUAUAUA